rnacentral:lncRNA from 1 species
CCAGAUAGGAGAACAAAAGCAGGCUGCCCGAGCUAGCAGUGGCAACAUGCUCAGGUCUCUUACCACGCUGUGGAAGCUUUGUUCUUUCGCUCUUUGCAAUGAAUCCUGCUGCUGCUCACUCUUUGGGUCCACACUGCCUUUAUGAGCUGUAACACUCACUGUGAAGGUCCGCAGCUUCCCUCCUGAGCCAGCGAGACCAGGAACCCACCAGAAGGAAGAAACUCAGAACACAUCCCAACAUCAGAAGGAACAAACUCCAGACGCGCCACCUUAAGAGCUGUAACACUCACCGCGAGGGUCUGCGGCUUCAUUCUUCAAGUCAGUGAGACCAAGAACCCACCAAUUCCGGACACACCAAGUCCUGAGUUCAGAAUUUUGUUUUUGAGAUGAACAUAAAAGCACCUAAAGGUCAAGGAAGAUGUUCUUCCUGUGAUAAGGAACACAAAGCCUGUUUGGUGGUCUCUUCACACGGAAGCGCAUGACACUUCGCUUUAGUGUAGAUGACCACUCCCCUCUGUAAGGUGUUUCCUGUGAUCUCUGGGAUCCUGAUCCGCACCACUCAACUUUGGCCUCCUAAACUUCAUCCUUGACCCCACCCCAGGUAGGAAGGAUGUGUGGAUAUUUCUUUUAUCUUUCUGCAACGAUGACCUUUUGGAGAAAAAGAAAGGAAGCAGGACCUCUUGACCAGAAUUUAUCCAGCACUCCAGCACGGCUUGCACGUUAUCUGGAGUAAAGAGACCUUCUGGGAUUUCAUCAGCCUCCUGUCCAUCAAGAGAGCCACAGCUAAGAACCUAGAAGGGUAGAAGCAAAAGAUUUUUUUCCUCCUGUAUAAUCCCAAUCCACUACUUAGGUAGGUGACUUCAAACAAGUUACUUAACCUCUCUCUGCUUCAGUGUUCUCAAAAUUGCAGAAACGAUCUUAUAGGACUGCUGUGAUGGUUAAAUGUGAGAAUUUUGAGGGCACAGAAAAC